GACGACGCUGGCGGCGUGCUUAACACAUGCAAGUCGAACGAGCGGCGGACGGGUGAGUAAUGUCUGGGAAACUGCCCGAUGGAGGGGGAUAACUACUGGAAACGGUAGCUAAUACCGCAUACCAUCGGAUGUGCCCAGAUGGGAUUAGCUAGUAGGUGGGGUAACGGCUCACCUAGGCGACGAUCCCUAGCUGGUCUGAGAGGAUGACCAGCCACACUGGAACUGAGACACGGUCCAGACUCCUACGGGAGGCAGCAGUGGGGAAUAUUGCACAAUGGGCGCAAGCCUGAUGCAGCCAUGCCGCGUGUAUGAAGAAGGCCUUCGGGUUGUAAAGUACUUUCAGCGAGGAGGCGUUACUCGCAGAAGAAGCACCGGCUAACUCCGUGCCAGCAGCCGCGGUAAUUC
rnacentral:rRNA from 1 species